CUGGAACUUCCCAGCAACCAAAGAUGCGUCAACUAUGUCUGUAGCUCUUGAGGGUCUGAGCAGGCCAGUGAUGUCUUUGACUUUCAUCAUGGCCGUGUAUGCCUUGGCACUGCCUCCUGCAAAGGCUUGUGUGGGAAGAUGGCUCAGUAAAGGCAGAGGGUGGGGGAAGAAACCCCAGAACAUCCGAACCCCAGGACAGCUGGUCCACCCCAGGUUGCUGAGCCCUGCCCAGACUCAGUGGCUCAGCCACUAACCUCACUGCUGGGGUCUAGCUACUCAGCCAGACUCUGCCUCAGUUCUCUGUCUGUAAAACUGAAAGUAGAAACACCUUCCCCGCAUGGCAAAUGCUGUAAGUGUUAUUUGAAACCUGAGUACGUAGGGAAGAGAGAACAGAAGACGGGAAACCUUCCUACCGGCUGCCGAGCUGGGGUGAGCAGGACCCUGACAGGGUCUGAGUUCUCUCAGCAAAUAUCUACCAAGUGCCUGCUCCCUGCAAAGUCAGAGACAUAUCAGCAAGCAAAACAUCUCAACAUCCAUGCCCAGCAGCAUGACUCACAGUUGCCAAGUGCAGAGGCCCCUCGUGUCCAUGGAUGGAUGACUGGCAUGCAGUCCAAGGAGAGUGCGGUUCAUUCAUUCAAGGCAAUGGUAUUCCGCCUUAAGAGGAAGGAUAUUCUGACAGCUGCUGCAACAUGGAUGAACCCUGAGGUCACAGUGAUCAGCAACAGAAGCCAGCCCUGAAAGAGCAAAUAUGAUUCCCCUUACACGAGGUCCCUAGAGGAGCCAAAGUCAUGGGGACAGCAAGCUGGAAGGUGGGGGCCAGGGACUGCGGGAGGGGAUGGGAGUGGGUGUGAGAGUGAGCAGUUCAUGGGGGCAGAGUUUCGGGUUGGAAAGAUAGACACGUUUUGCAGAUGGAGCCGUGGCGAUGGUUGGACCGCAAUGUGAACAGACUUCAUGUUACUGACCCAUACAAUUAAAAAUGGUCAAAAUGGUA
ensembl:lncRNA